rnacentral:tRNA from 1 species
GCCCCUAUAGCUUAAUGGAUAGAGCACUGGUCUUCGGAACCGGUGAUGGGGGUUCGAUUCCCUCUAGGGGCA